CUUCAUCUGAUUUCUCUGAAAGUUCACCUCAGAGGGUAACAAAGCAGCGCUUGUGAUGUAAAUAUGGAAGAACCACACUGACAGCCAGUAAGCCAUGAGGUUCUUCUAUCUAUCGAUCAAGUUGUCACUCCUACUUCAACGCAGGUUACCAGUUUUCAUCAGAACUUGAGUAGAAUAUGAAUGUUAUGGGAUACUUGAGAGACAACAGGUGCCACUCACAAAUAAGAAUUCAUGCGCACGUACCUCAGCAUCCUGACAGAGAGAAGCACAAUCCAGACAAAGUAACAGAAUUAAAAAAUAUCUGUGGCACUGGUCUGGGUUCACCUUCUGGAAUUAAGAGGCUUAUACUCAGACCACGGAGUGUGGUAGGCCUAUUUGCCUCCCAUCAAAAGACAAUGAUGGAGUGACGGCUUCAGUGGAUGGGGGAAGGGUGGUGGAUGUCAUCUACCUGGACUUCUGCAAGGCCUUUGACAUGGUCCCUCAUCACAUCCUUCUUUCUAAAUUGGAGAGGUGUAGAUUUGAAGGAUGGACUGUUCGAUGGAUUAGGAAUUGUCUGUCUGGAUGCAGCCAAACGGUUGUGAUCAAUGGUUCUCUGUCAGGGUGGAGGCCAGUCAUGAGCCAUGAAGUGUCCCUCAGGUGUUGGUCUUGAGACCAGUGCUCUUCAACAUCUUCAUCAAUGACACAGACGAUGACAUUGAGUACACCCUCAGCAAGUUUGCAGAUGACACCAAGACAAGCAGUGCAGUUGAUACAUUGGAAGGAAGGGAAGCCAUCCAGAGGGACCUGGACAGGCUGGAGAAAUGGGCCCAUGGAAACCUAAUGAGGUUCAAUAAGGCCAAGUGCAGGG
rnacentral:lncRNA from 1 species